UGCAAAUUAAGCUUUAUAUUUUGCGUUCACAUUCUUAAGAAAAUCUAGCCUGUAGGUCUACAUCAGCACAUUCUCAUGCACGACAAACUCUCAUGAAAGCCUCUCUGAAUUUCUGUUGACCACGUAAAUCCCAUCUGACACAAUGUAAAUGAACUAGUUUACCAUUUCCGUCCAGACACUAAUUCACGUUUUACUAUAGUGGAUGAACUAGUUCAGCAGUUCUCUCAACAAUCAUCCUGUGCACCCAACAAACGAACCAGAAAUUUAGAAACCUAGUCGUAAUAUCAUGCGUGGGUCCAUAAACAAUAUCUUAAAAGCAUGUCCCCGAGGUGAUUAUCUUCUUCUUCAAAUCAAAGUGUUUAGCAGGAAGUAGCAUAGGGUUUGAUCAUGGUUUUGAACAAAACUAGUUUAUUCUCACACACACCUUGAAUUAUUUGGGGUUCAGAUAUGGACCAAGAGUCACUAUUAAAAUACACAUAACAAUGACCGACUAUCAAAACCAACUGAUGUUCCUACAGCGAAACCUGAGGUAUCGGAAUAUCCUCUCUAUGGAUGAACUCAAUGAGAAAUAUUAUUUUACAUGGGCAGAUAAAUACACCAGCUAUAGAAAAUGUCCCAAAAAACCAGAAAGGAGAUUAUAGAUGCACAUUGCAAAAAAGAAGAUGCCAAGCUCCUGGUUAGUUCGGACUGUAGAAUCAAUAUACAAAUCCAAUCAGACCAUGCUGACCGCACUUGAUUCUAGUUCAGGUAGGGGAAAUCUAAUGCAACAGCAUCCAACUAAUCACAUUGUACCACCCAAUAUCUAUAAGGUAAUACUGAUAACGACAAACAGCUUCAUCCAUCCAAAAGUAAAAAACAAAGAUGCAAUAAACAUAAAAAAAAAAAAGUGAAAAGACAGAACACUUAAAACAUCCAUGACCAGACAUAGAAUGUUGUUGUAAAAUUACAUCGGUUCCCCAAUACACAUAACUCGACUACUCAAGAGACUCCUGGUACAAAAGACAAACAGUAAGACAGAUAUUGCACUAUAAUCUCAGUGACGAGAGUGACAA